AAGCAGCUUGCUGCUUUGCUGACGAGUGGCGGACGGGUGAGUAAUGUCUGGGAAGCUGCCUGAUGGAGGGGGAUAACUACUGGAAACGGUAGCUAAUACCGCAUAACGUCGCAAGACCAAAGAGGGGGACCUUCGGGCCUCUUGCCAUCGGAUGUGCCCAGAUGGGAUUAGCUAGUAGGUGGGGUAACGGCUCACCUAGGCGACGAUCCCUAGCUGGUCUGAGAGGAUGACCAGCCACACUGGAACUGAGACACGGUCCAGACUCCUACGGGAGGCAGCAGUGGGGAAUAUUGCACAAUGGGCGCAAGCCUGAUGCAGCCAUGCCGCGUGUAUGAAGAAGGCCUUCGGGUUGUAAAGUACUUUCAGCGGGGAGGAAGGGAGUAAAGUUAAUACCUUUGCUCAUUGACGUUACCCGCAGAAGAAGCACCGGCUAACUCCGUGCCAGCAGCCGCGGUAAUACGGAGGGUGCAAGCGUUAAUCGGAAUUACUGGGCGUAAAGCGCACGCAGGCGGUUUGUUAAGUCAGAUGUGAAAUCCCCGGGCUCAACCUGGGAACUGCAUCUGAUACUGGCAAGCUUGAGUCUCGUAGAGGGGGGUAGAAUUCCAGGUGUAGCGGUGAAAUGCGUAGAGAUCUGGAGGAAUACCGGUGGCGAAGGCGGCCCCCUGGACGAAGACUGACGCUCAGGUGCGAAAGCGUGGGGAGCAAACAGGAUUAGAUACCCUGGUAGUCCACGCCGUAAACGAUGUCGACUUGGAGGUUGUGCCCUUGAGGCGUGGCUUCCGGAGCUAACGCGUUAAGUCGACCGCCUGGGGAGUACGGCCGCAAGGUUAAAACUCAAAUGAAUUGACGGGGGCCCGCACAAGCGGUGGAGCAUGUGGUUUAAUUCGAUGCAACGCGAAGAACCUUACCUGGUCUUGACAUCCACGGAAGUUUUCAGAGAUGAGAAUGUGCCUUCGGGAACCGUGAGACAGGUGCUGCAUGGCUGUCGUCAGCUCGUGUUGUGAAAUGUUGGGUUAAGUCCCGCAACGAGCGCAACCCUUAUCCUUUGUUGCCAGCGGUCCGGCCGGGAACUCAAAGGAGACUGCCAGUGAUAAACUGGAGGAAGGUGGGGAUGACGUCAAGUCAUCAUGGCCCUUACGACCAGGGCUACACACGUGCUACAAUGGCGCAUACAAAGAGAAGCGACCUCGCGAGAGCAAGCGGACCUCAUAAAGUGCGUCGUAGUCCGGAUUGGAGUCUGCAACUCGACUCCAUGAAGUCGGAAUCGCUAGUAAUCGUGGAUCAGAAUGCCACGGUGAAUACGUUCCCGGGCCUUGUACACACCGCCCGUCACACCAUGGGAGUGGGUUGCAAAAGAAGUAGGUAGCUUAACCUUCGGGAGGGCGCUUACCACUUUGUGAUUCAUGACUGGGGUGAAGUCGUAACAAGGUAACCGUAGGGGAACCUGCGGUUGGAUCACCUCCUU
rnacentral:rRNA from 1 species